CGUGUAGGCGGGAAGGAAAGUCGGGCGUGAAAUCCCUGGGCUCAACCCAGGAACUGCACUCGAAACUUCUUUUCUUGAGUGCCGGAGAGGAAAGCGGAAUUCCUGGUGUAGAGGUGAAAUUCGUAGAUAUCAGGAGGAACACCAGUGGCGAAGGCGGCUUUCUGGACGGUAACUGACGCUGAGACGCGAAAGCGUGGGGAGGCAAAACA
rnacentral:rRNA from 1 species